AACGAACGCUGGCGGCAUGCCUAACACAUGCAAGUCGAACGAGACCUUCGGGUCUAGUGGCGCACGGGUGCGUAACGCGGGGGAACCUGCCCUUAGGUUCGGAAUAACUCCCCGAAAGGGGUGCUAAUACCGGAUAAUGUCUUCGAACCAAAGAUUUAUCGCCUUUGGAUGGGCCCGCGUUGGAUUAGCUAGUUGGUAGGGUAAAAGCCUACCAAGGCGACGCUCCAUAGCUGGUCUGAGAGGAUGAUCAGCCACACUGGGACUGAGACACGGCCCAGACUCCUGCGGGAGGCAGCAGUGGGGAAUAUUGGCCAACGGGCGAAAGCCUGAUCCAGCAAUGCCGCGUGAGUGAUGAAGUCCUUAGGGUUGUAAAGCUCUUUUACCCGGGAUGAUAAUGACAGUACCGGGAGAAUAAGCUCCGGCUAACUCCGUG
rnacentral:rRNA from 1 species